rnacentral:tRNA from 1 species
GCGACACUAGUUCAGCUGGUAGAGCGCAACCUUGCCAGGUUGAGGUCACGAUUACGCCUUGAAGAUCGGGAACCUUGUGUGUCGCUCCA